ensembl:lncRNA VLDLR-AS1 VLDLR antisense RNA 1
CUUCCAUGGUCACAAACAAGAGGUCCCUGGAUCUACAGUAUCUAGGCCCACAUGCAAUAUGACUUUGCAACUCAUCCCAUCAGAGGAUGGAAACUAUUUCUUCACCCCCUUGAACCUGGGCUGGCUUUGUAAUUUGUUUUGGCCAAUAGAAUGUGGUGGAAGUGAUGGUGUUACCAGAAAGAGUUCCCAAUCCAGACUCGUGCGAGAAAGAAUUUGAGAAAUGAAAGAACCAGAGCAUUAUAGCAGAACGAAUCCUGGAAUGGGAAUGGAAUGCCUGGAUUUGUGGCACAGUUGGGAAGCGUCCUGGCCAUGCCAUGUUAAAGCUGUCUCCAAGGCAGUGAUUCUUACCCUUGGCUACACAUUGGAGUCAUUUGGGAAGCUAGAAAAAAAAAAUGCCCAGGACCUGGGCAAGACGGCUGAAUAAGAACAGCUCUGGUCUGCAGUUCCUAGCAAGAUCAACGCAGAAGGGAAGCUGGCAGCCUGGGCUCUUGGAGAUUGUAUCUGGUGCCGGAGAGGACUGGCUCCCACACUCAGUGAGGGAGGAAUUUUACUGACCCAGCAUCCAGAUGAACUUUGGUGAGGAGAGGAGGACAUAAGAGCCUGGUGGUUGAUGAUGGAAGAGAUGAAACUGUGAAGAGACCGAAGAAGCUAAUCUAUCAAUAGUUAAGAUUCCAUUUCUAAAAGAUCUUACUUUGAGUCUACCUAUGCCUGGGAUGUCAAGAGACGGAGUUUCACUGUUGUUGCCCAGGCUGGAGUGCAGUGGCGUGAUUUCAGCUCACGGCUACCUCUGCCUCCCGGGUUCAAGCAAUUCUCCUGCCUCAGCCUCCCAAGUAGCUGGGAUUACAGAUCAUCUCUCUACUGACCUUUUAGUGGCUUAGCAUUUUGUUGCAAUGCACAAGUGAAGUUGGGAAACAGAGCCAAGUGACAAGCUGUGAAGUAACAGCUCAGCCUUCACAAAGCAAAUGUGCUUUGUGCACUUCCUUGCCAGAGCAGAUGUGGCCUUGGUGGACUGUGGGGAGCAUCAUCUCUCAGGUAAAAAUAAAUUACUAAGAUUAGGACCAAAUGAUGCAAAUCCUUUCAUUUGCAAACAGAUCAUGAACUGGCAGCCAUGUGGAAAGAAGACUAGACUGCGAAUCACUUAGGAUCCCACCCUCGGUUUAGUCUAGAAUACUCUGCGAAUCAGCUUUUUGGCCCUAGGAAAGAGACAAAUGGAAGCAAAAUAGCAAAAUGGUGAAGAGGAGGGUUCUAGAGGCAGAGAGCCCUGCAGUCCUGAGUCCUGAGUCCACCGUUUAACAGAGUGACUUUGCUCAGCCUGUGGAUUAUAAUGAAACUUGCCUGUUAUAGGAUCCAGUUUUUUAGGUGGUAGCAACAUGCUCAAGGAAGAUGCAGCCCCUUCCUCCAGCCUGAGAGAAUAAAGCAUCAUUGGCUUAUGCCAACCAUGGCAAUCCCAUUCCCCUUUUCUCAUGAUUGAUUUGGGAAUGGGCAAGUGACCCAGUUCUAACCAAUGAGACGAAAGAAAAAGUCUAUUGGUCAGCUUAUCUCAGAAGAUUUUUGUUUCCUGCUAUAAAGAGAAACAGUAAGUUCCUUCCUGCCUGACUUAAAUGCAAUUGUGUGCAAACAUGUUACUUGGAGCUACAGCAACGAUUCUGUGACCAUGAGGCAAUAAGCCAAGGACAAAGGAUAGAAUAGUGAAAAGACAGAGUAUUGGAUUUUUUUUAUGAUAUCAUUGAACUGCUGGACCAAUGUGGAACCAU